GGAGUCACUUCCUAGUUAUACUGCAUUCUUUUAUGCACAUUAAAUUUUGCAUGGGGUUCGACAUCCAUCAAAAUUUUGGCGUCGUUGCUGGGGACCAAUGGUUCGGUUUUAGGUCUUUUAUUGUGUUAGUGUGUGUUGUCUUGUCUUGUGUUGUGAGUGUGAUGUUCUUUUUUGUGUGUUCAUCAUUGUGUGUUGCAUUUAGGUAGCUUUAGUUGCAUAUUUUCAUUACAUUCUUCUUUUCCCCCUUCUUUCCCAUGUCUACCUAUUUUGGUUUUGUGGAUACUGUUUCUUCUGCCUGUG
rnacentral:lncRNA from 1 species